rnacentral:lncRNA from 1 species
CAGGAUGCACCACAGUCCUACAAUCACCAUCCUUUCAAGUUGUUUUAUAUCCACCUCCUCAUCUUCCCCUGCUAUCUUCCCUACCUUACCGGCUUGGUAACAAUCGUAGACCCAUUCUUCAAGGAUAGCUUCUUCGUCCUUGAGGCUCCAAUUUACACUCCGUCGACAACAUAUGAUCUCCAAUAAUACGAUCCCGAAGCUGUAAACAUCUGCUUUCACUGUCACCGGUAGUUUCCUGUGCCACUCUGGUGCAACGUACCCCCUUGUUCCUCUGAUCCCAGUGAAGGUCUUGGUUUGGUCUGGCUUUAGCAACUUGGCCAAUCCGAAAUCGGAUAUUUUCGCUUGCCCGUUUUCGUCCAUUAGUAUGUUCUGAGACUUGAUGUCACAAUGGAUUAUUUGAGUCUCGCAUUCUUCAUGAAGAUAGAGGAGACCUCGAGCUACGUCGCGAGCGAUUUCCACCCUCUCGAUCCAACAAGGUCGUCUUUCGGGUGUAAAGAGUACAUCGGAAAGUGAUCCAUUGAUCAUGUACUCGUAUAUCAAGAGCCUAUUAGCUCCAUCAUGGCAGUAUCCUAGUAGUCGAACUAAGUUUCGAUGAUGAGUUCUCCCAAUGAUUCGCAUCUCGUUUUGGAACUCUCGUUCGCCUUGGUCUGAUAUGUUGUCCAAUCUCUUCACUGCCACAAAUUUUGUUAAACCAUUCAACAUUACCGUCCCUUUGAAAACGGUCCCAAAUGCUCCUUUCCCGAUUUCUUCCUGGAAAUUAUCAGUCAUCGCCUCGAUUUCUGAAAAACUAAACGAAAUAGGAGCAACGUUCUCGCACAAUCUUAUGUUGCUGUCUGUAGAAAACCUUUUGUAUCUGAAAACACGACUCCAAAGAAUCAAAGCCCCAGAAAUUACUAGCACCAUGAUUGCAAAACCAAUCAGUGAAAGCCCUAUAAUUAAAAUAUCCGUAUGAACUUUCCCAUUCCCAUCUUUAGGUUCAUCAGCAUGUUUUCUUGGUUCAUUAAUGGAUGAAUAUAUACCUACCUUGAUCAAAGCGAUGUUUGAAUUGCUAAGAUCCCUUCUCCCAUAUCUCAAAGGAAGCCUUUGCUUCGUGCAUUUUCCAUCAUUAAACAUGGCAGCCUCACAGUUGCAAUCCUCAUAACAUGCUGUCUCACAUUCUUCUCUGGUUGUUGAAGUCACCUCAGAAUAUCCAGUAUCUUCCCAUACAGUGUUUUCAGCUGCCUGAAUGGUAUACUGGAUUUUCCCAUCAUCGUUUUUACAGCUGUCGCUGGAGAAACUCCUCUCGCAGCCAGCAGUGAAAUUUCCUUCUAUAACUGGAGCAAAUCCUGGAAGACAUAUACAAUUAGCUUCGCUAUCUACAUCAACGCAAUAACCAUUAAGCCCACAUAGACCCUUGGGUGCACACUUGUCUGAUGUAGAUGACCAUAUAACUGAUCGAUUGCCGUUCCGAUCGAGUCUGUAAGAAUAGAGUCGAAAGAUGCCAUCGGAAUCAAUUUUCAUCAGAUAAAUUGUUCUAUUUGUAUCAUCAUACCCUCCUGUGGUUAGAUCCUUUAUGUUGAAGCUUGUUGAAUUGAGCAUGUACAAAUGACCAUCAUUGUCGAGAUUCAGGCUCACGUUAUCUCCCUUGCCAUCUGUAAAGGAUGACCAAUAAGAAUAAGGUGCUGUGUCAGGAGUGUCCACAGGGUACUGUACCAAGUUUCCAUCAUGCUGCAUCUUAAGACGAAAUAUACCAGUUGACUGGUCAGUUUCCGAGACACUAGAGACCAGCUCCUUCCCAGCUGAGAGAGGCUGUCCUUGUAGAAUGCUAGUGGUUGGAUAUUGGAAGCUCUGCCAUAUCUUGUCCUCGUCAGAGUUGUAUACAACGAAAUUGCCAGUAUCAAGCAUCGAAGCGGCAGCAAUUUUCUGAGAAGCAUCGGUGACGAUGUAUACGUCUCGUCUUGGCGGUGACUGAAGAAUGAGCCUUCCAUCUGUUGUAAGAACCAAGCUAGCAGUGCUUGGAACAGGAGGAUCAUCUCGGUUGGCAGUCCAAACUACUGUCCUUUGAGGAACUCCAGCAAGGAAAACCCCAACACCAUAGCCCUUACCUUGGGGAUAAAACCCAAAGCCAUAGAGACCAGAAGGGGAUAGCCAUGCGGAUUUACCGGUGGUCGUGGGUGUCAAAGAUGAGCCCAAACGUAUAGUGGAGUUCCUUGGUUGAGCUACUGCAUGCAAAUGAAAGGAAAAGGAACACACAAGGAAAAGAAAUGAAAUGGCGAACAUGGCUAAGGCCUAAAAGGUACAAUAUCCCUAUAGAUUACAGAGCAUAUCGUUAUACAUAUAUAUGGUUUAAUGAGUUUUGAGAGUCAAUACUUUGAAUGAAUUUUCCAUCUUACUUUUUUGAUAGGAUACUUAUCACUAUACAGUUUCGUCCUAGAGAAGUAGGUCAUGACUCAUACGUGUAGAUUUCCAAAGGGGACCAAUCAUCGAUUGGCUACUUUAGUCCACUCAUGAGCUGAUAUAUUUAAUUUGAGAGGAAAAUCUAGCCAUGGUACUUCAGUCCAAUUACAAAUUUUCAAUUUCAACCUUCAACAUAUUUUUAUGUCUUAUCGAUGAAGCAGUCAAACAUGGAAGAUGGUCUCCAUAAUUUCUUUCAAGAAGGGUUCCUGCUCUAACUCAUUUAUCUUUUAGCAGACGAUCGUCUCUUCUUUUGUGAAAAUUCUCAGUUUAUUUUGCCAGUUUUCUAGUCAAAAGUUGAAUAAAAAGAAAUCUCAGAUAUAUUUUUUUCCUAAUACACUUGCUUAUUAGCAUAUAUGAUUUGCAAUGAUGUUGGUAUGGUGCGAAUUGAGGAGUUGGGUAAUUAUCUUGGUAUGCUUUUAUUGCGUAAAAGAGUCACAACGAGUUCAUUUGAUUUUAUAGUGAGUAAUGUUCGGAAUAAGUUGAAUGGAUGGAAAGUUAGGAAGCUCUCUUUAGCAGGCAAAAUAACUUUGGCAAAAUCAGUUCUGCUUGCUAUCCCUAAUUAUUUGGAAUUCAAUACCGUAAACUUUAGACCAUCAAUGUUUAAUUGGAAAAUUUUGAUCAACUUAAGAGUAUUUAUCAAUUAUGCAUUCCUUUAACUACUAACAUAUUUCAAUAAUUAUGAUAUCGAACCAAUUGAAUCGAAUCUAUAUAUGAGUGUAUUAACAUUGUGUUGUACAAGAAACUUGAAAAGUAUUAAUGUAUUGUACAUUUCUUUAAUUAUUAAUGUAAUUGAAUAAGUUAUUAUAUUAAUUGUACAGCCAUUUAUCUAAUUGAAUGAAUCUAUGUAGAAAGGUAAUAGCAUUGUAGUGUAUAAGUAUUUUUAAAAGUAUUUAUUAAUUGUAUGUUCCUCUAAUCACUAGUGCAAUUGAAUAAAUUCUGACAUUAGUUGUACAGUUAUUGAUCUAAUUGAAUAAAUUGUAUAAUUAAUCAUACAAUCAUUGGUCUAAUUGAAUCAGUCUAUGUAAACUCAACAUUGAGUAUACAUGUUUAGAAUUCAAUAUCAUACAGUGAAAUAUAUCAAAACUUUGGACCGCCAAUGUUUAAUUUCAAAUAUUUAAUCAACUUCAGAGUGUUUAUCAAUUAUGUAGUCCUCUAACUACUAACGUAAUUGAAUGAUUAUGACAUUGAACUAAUUAAAUUGAGUCUAUAUAUGAAUGCAGUAACAUUGUGGUCUACAAGUGAUUAGAAAAGUAAUGAUCACUUUUACAUUUCUCUAAUUUUUAACGUAGUUGAAUGAGUUAUAACAUUAAUUGUACAAUCAUUGAUCUAAUUGAACAAAUCUAUGCAUGAAGGUAAUUACAUUGUAGUGUAUAAGUAUUUGUAAGAGUAUUGAUCAAUUGUACAAUUCAUUGUAUAAUCAGUAAUUCAUAAUUGAAUUGGUCCAUGUAAACACAACAUUGAGUAUACAUAUUUGGAGUUCAUUAUCAUAUAGCGAAAUAUAGUAAAACUUUGGACCACCGAUGUUUAAUUUCAGAUUUUGUAUUAAUUUAAAAGUAUUGAUCAAUUAUACACUCUUCUAACUACUAACGUUAUUGAAUAAUUAUGACAUCAAUUAUAUAAUCAUUGAUCCAAUUUAAUGAAUUAUACAAUUAAUCAAACAACCAUUUCAAUCAGUGUAUAAAUGUAUUACCAUUGUAACCAAUGAGUAAUUCUCGUGGAUCAUUUUAGGUUUAGGUCAUAUUGGGUUAUGAUUAUUUCUCGUUUAAUCAUUCAAUUUUCAUUUAAUAUAAGGAUUUGUUUUGAAUUAGAUAAGUUUAAAAUUAAGUUACUUGCAUGAUUUAGAGUUGAUUAUUAAAGUCAAUAAAGUCUAAUUUAUUAAUUUUAAAAUAAAAUUAAAUCAAAGUUAGAUAAGUUAUUUAAUUGGUUUAAAUUAAUUAUAAAAGUAAUAAUUAUCAUAAAUAAUUUUGAAAUAAAUAUAAUCAACUACUAUAAAUUUAGAUUAAUUAAUUCAUAAUAUAUAAAACCAUAAAAAGUAAAACUUUUUUAAUAGAUAAAAAUAAUUAUUGUUAUUUACAUUGUUUUGAAAUGUUCAUGAUAAAUAUUUUAUUGUUAAUAAUUUUUUUAAUCUCAAAUUUUAAUGUUUUUAGUUAAUAACAUUAUUUUAAUUAAAAAAAAUUUAGGAUAAGCAUAAAUCAGUUAUAUUUUUAGAAUUUAAAACAUAAGUAAAAAAUAAAAACAAAAAUUUGUCAAAAUAAAUUUUUAAAUAAAUUAGAAUCAAAAUUAAAUUAAAAUUUUUCAAAGUAAAAUAAAAUAAAAAUAAAAAUAAUUUUUUUGAGAUUUUGAAAUAUAUCAAUUUUUUUUUGAAUUUUUCAUCAUAUUUUGAUAAUUUCUCUUCACUUAUUAAUUUUACUUGAGAAUAAAUAGAUAAAAUAUAAUUUUUAUCAGUAUUUAUUGUUUUUGAAAAAAAUUUUCUCAAGACCAUAUGAUAUAAGUCGAAAUUGCAUAUUUUAUUAUAAUAGACAAUAAUAAUUAUAUUUAAAAAUUAUUAAAAUAAAAUAAAAUUUUAAUUUAUAAAUAUUUUUUAUUAAUUUUUUGAGAACAUUUACUUAAUUAAGUUUGGGUCACUUUCAAGUUUCAUUCAAAAUUGAUAAAUUUAUACUAUUAGUAUAUCAACCAUAUGUGAAUAGUAAAUCAAUUGUAAUUGGAAGGGAUAAUAAAUUAAAAUAAUGUUUAUAAUUUAAUUUGAUAGGACCACUUUUUUUUUUCUUUUGACAAAUGGGUGGAGAAAUUUUUUUUUAGGUAAUAGUUAUGGGAUCUUGUUGGUAUGAUUAGAGGUGUUCAAAUUUCAGUUAAAAUCGAAUUAAUCGAUCAAAUUAAUUUAAUUCGAUUAAUUUAUCGGUUAAUUGAUCUAUUUCGGUUGGAGAUAAAUUAAAUUUUUUUUGAAAAUUCAAUUAACGGUUAAUUCGGUCCAAAAUUAGGUAAUUAACCGAAUUAACCGAACUUAAUAAAUAAUAUUAUUUAUUAUAUAUAUUAGGCUAUUACUAAUUCGGUUAAUUCUAUCAAAUGAAUAUUAUCAAUUUUUUUAUAUAUUUUAUACUUAUUUUAAUAAAAAACAAAACAUAUAAAUUUCAGUUAAAACUAAAAUAUUUCGAUUCGAUUAAUUUAUUUUGAAAAAAAUUGGUUCAAUUAAUGGUUAAAGAAUUAGAAUUUUUAAUUAAUUUAAUUAAUACUAAUUUAGUUCGAUCAACCAUUUAAAUACCCCUAAAUGUAAUUAUACUCUAAUUUCGAUCAACCACAUUUCUCAAAAAAGUUAAUUUGGUAUCAUUCAAGGUUAUUCUGUAUUGCUUUUGUGAAACUUAAUAUAAGCUUUUACAUUGAAUUCCCAUCUUAUUAAGUAGAUGUCACCUCAUAUUUCGAUAAAAAAAAUACAUAUAAAAAUAUAAAUAAAUGAAUAUUCAUUUUCUAAAAUUUAUUUAUUAAAUAUUUUUUUAAAUCUACAAAAAAUAUUUCAAACUUUUCCUUUUCUAUUUUUACUUUAUAAAUAAUAAUUUAUUUAUUAUACAUUUAGUCUUGUUCCUUAGCUCUCACUAAUUUUGUUGAGCACUAGGCACUACCUUCGCUUAUAACUACCGAUACCAAUAGAGGUGAUCACAGGUUGGGUUGAGUUUGGUCCAAGUCUCAAUAGAAUUUUAAGCAUGUUUUCUAGGCUUGAGUUCGAUCCGAAAAAUGGGCUUAAAAUUUUGCCUAAGCUUAACCUGAAUAAAAAUGCUAAAACUUGAACCCGACCCGACCCACUCGUACUAAAUUUUUUUAUAUUAUUAUUUUUAUAUAAAAAUGAAUUUAAAAAUAUAAUAUAUCAAAAGAACUAAAAACAUUAAAAUAAACAUUUUUCAAUAAAUUGAAAAUAAAUUUAAAAAUUAUUUAUACUUAAAUAACACUAAGAUAGAUGUAACUUAUAGCAAACAAACACCUCUAAAGUAGCAGCAAAAUUAACAAAUAAAACAAGUGUUAUACAAUAUCUAAACAAUAACAAUAAAAUAGUAGCAAUGUAAUAGAGAAACGACACCAAAAUAGUGACAAAACAUCAACAAAAAUAGUGAAAAUAACAGCAAAAAGCAACAUUUUUAUUUUUUACAAAUUCGCGUUGGACAGGGCUCGAGACAGGAAAAGCUUACCCAAAGCCUGACCUAUUUAGAAAACUGGCUUCGCUUUUUUGCCCAAACCCAUUUUUCAAACCUAUAGUUUUGCCCAAAUCCUCCUUUUCGGGCGGGCCUUUGGGCUAGACUGAGUGGUUUGACCGAGAAUCAAGUCUAUCAUCGAUUUCCACAUCUUUCAUCAUUGUGCCAUCCAACUAGGAAUCAAUUAUGGAGGGGUCUCCAAGACUUCAUUAUCACAUGAAUACCCCCAAUUCUGCCUGUCCUCAGAUUGUAGUUAGAAGUGAGCAUUCGAUCGAAUCGAGUGAAAAAAUUUCAAGUUGACAAGUCAUAUUUUAUCAUCCUAACUCGAUUUAACUUUUUUUUUUUCAAAUUGAGUAGAGUGAAAUGAAAUUCGAGCCGAACCGAGUGAAAUUGUUCGAGUUAAAUUAAAAAAUUGAACAUGUCAAAUUAAAAUAUUGUUAUAGUAUAACUAAUUCCAUGUUAGAGUACAUAAAUUUCAAACCAUAUAUAUUUCGACAUAAUAAAAAAAUAAGAUAUUUUAGUAUGAUAAACUUGAAUUAUUAAUUAACUUAUUUAGGUCCCAAUUGUAAUAGCCCGAUUUUAGGCUUAGUCGGAACAGUGGUUUCGGGACCACAAAUCCGACGAAAAAAAAUGUAAUGGCUUGAAUUUUCAGAGGUGUCGGAACGGUGAUUCGAUAUCACUAAAUUCGACAAAUGGGUAGAAAAUAUUAUUAAUUUAGUAAGUAUAAGUUAAAUAUGAAGUUAGGAAAAUUUUUGAAAUAGUGAAUAGUGCACUAGAAAUAAAUAUUAAAAUAAUUAGAAUCGAAAUGAGGUAUCAAGACCUCGGGGAUUUUAAACUGAGCCAUAAAUAUUUUUAUAAAUAUUUAUGGAGUGUUAAAAAGUUAGUAUUAAAGUUUCGUUAAGAAAUUUUAAAGUUCCGAUAAUUAAUUGAAUAAAAAGGAUUAAAUUGUAACAAAUGCAAAAUUUUGAGAAAUGAUUAAAUAGCUUAAAUGAUAAAAGGAAGAGGGCUUAAAUGAUUAAAUAGCCCAAGGUCUAUUUGGGCUGGACGGCAGAGGCAUGAAAUCAGCAAGAAAGUAAGGAGAAUUAAGGGAAAAAUUGGAAAAUUGCAAAAUUUGCUUAAUAAAGUUAGGACCCAAGUGGAAUUAUCUAGAUUUCUCUUCAUUUUUCUGAAUUCUCAUCAGCUAAAACACCAUGGAAGGGCUUCUUCAAGCUGGUUCUUCAUAUUUUUAUUACAAGUAAGUUCAAUUCUUGACUAUUUCUUGAAAUUUUUGUAUUUUUAUGACUUUUACAACUAGGCCCACUUGUUAAAUUCAUUAGUUUUUGAUUUUAUGAAAGAAGUUGAAAGUUGAUAUGAAUAUGUGCUGGAAGUAUAUGAUGAUUUAGCAUGAAAUUAGAGCUUUAAAUUGUUCAUAUGCUGAUUUUAUUGAAAGAAUUGAAUAGAAAGUGAAUGUUUGGGACCUAAUAGUAAAAGAGUUUGAAGAUAGAGUUAUAUGUGGAAAUUCUGAAUUUCAAUAGUUGUGUAAUAACUUAUAAUGUCUAGUAAAGUACUAAUUGAGAAAAUUAGAUUAAUUGAGGGGUUAAUUGAGAAAGGACCGAAUUGUAUAAACUGUGAAAUUUGGGGCAAAAUGGAAAUCAACAUUUUGCACUAAAGCAGUUUUGGACAGCAGCAGUAGUGUAACUUUGAAAAAUCACCAAAAAUUUUAGAGAUUGAAUUAGAGGAUGAAUAAAAUAUGAAACUAAAGCUUAUUGAGUCUAGUUUCUUAUAAAAGAAAUGAUGUGAGCAAUGGAAUUGUAAAUCAUGAGAUAUAAUAGAUUUUGUGAGACAAGGUCAGAAUGAAUUCGGGUUCCCCUGUUCUGACUUUGGAAAAUCAUUAAAAAUUGUACAAAAAUUAUUAUGAGUUAUAGCUUAUAUGGUUAGAAUCCUUAAUGAGUCUAUUUUUAGAAAAAACAAGCUAAAACAUCAUCUGAAUUCUGUACAAUGAGAUAAUUAAUUUUUAGUGAAGAGUGGUCGGAACUGUCAGACAGCGAAACAGGGGAAACUUUAAAGAAUAAACUGUACUAUUUUGCUGAACCAAAAAUUAUGAAAAUUUUAUGGUAUGAAGAUAUGUGAGUAUAGUUUCAGGGAAAAUUAAUGGAUCUUAAUUUGGAGCUCUGUAUCUCCGGAUAAAAAUAAUUUAGUGACUCUGACUCGGAUAAACAGCUUUGAAUAUACAUGUUAGUGAAUAUUGAAAUUAUGGUUAAUGUUGUUUAAGUGUAUUAUACACAUUAAGGAUGUGGAAUGGAGAGGAGGAGGAGGAAAAUUGGGAAAUAUAUGAAUGAUUCGUGUAUAAAUGGUCAUAUGUUUGAUUAUAACUCAUAAACGAUGAAAUAUGAAUGAUGCUUAUUUUUGUGCAUUAUUGGUCAUGGUUUAAGCUCAUGUGUGAAAAUAAAGUUUCAUAGUAUGUGUGUAUGGUAUAUUCAGUAUAUGAUUUGGCAUGAAAUAAUACCAUGAAUGGUUUAUGAAUUAACACAUGUUGGUAAGCCUGAUAUAUGAAUAAAUGAUCAAAUUGAGCGGAACGCCGGAUUUGAGUACUUCUGAUCAAGUGCAAAGUGAUAAGUGGUAGCUUUAGCUACACUUAUCUGAUCAAGUGACAAGUGGAAAGUGAUAAGUAAUAGCUUCGGCUAUACUUAUCUGAUCAAGUGACAAAGUGAUAAGUGAUAGCUUCGGCUAUACUUAUCUAAUCAAGUGACAAAGUGAUAAGUGAUAAGUGAUAGCUUCAGCUACACUUAUCUGAUCAAGUGACAAGUGGAAAGUGAUAAGUGAUAGCUUCGGCUACACUUAUCUGAUCAAGUGACAAGUGAAAAGUGAUAAGUGAUAGCUUCGGCUAUACUUAUCUGAUCAAGAGACAAAGUGAUAAGUGAUAGCUUUAGCUACACUUAUCUGAUUAAGAGACAAAGUGAUAAGUGGCUACACUUAUCUGAUCAAGAAACAAAGUGAUAGGUGGCUACACUUAUCUGAUCAGGGACAAGUGAUAAGUGAUCAUACGUAAGACCAUAGUUAUACUAUGGCAAAGUGAAAGUGAAGUACUCAAUUUUCCAUGACCGUUCCCUAAUUUGAUUAAGGAUGGUAAGUGACAAAUGGGCCCAAAAGAAUUAAAGUAAAUGGAUAAGUGGUAGUGUAUUUAUAUCAGGACGAUGUUGUUAUUCAAACUAAAGUGAUAUUUUCAUUGCUAAAUUGAGAAUUUCAUAAAUGUGUUAUUGAAUGGUAUAAUCAAUAAACAUUGAGUUAAAUGGUAAAUACGUAUUAGUUUUGAAUUUGAUGUCAUUGAAUUGUACGUGAAUUAAAUGGAAAUUGCUAGUGAUAUGAUUUAAAUUAUGAGCAUGAGAAAUUGCGAAUUGAAUGAAAUGGAAAUGAAGCAUUAAAUUGCAUGAGUAUGUAUCGGGUCUCGCAGGCCCUAAUUAUUAUGAUUAUAAUAUUUUGAGGAUAUAUUGUGAAAAGUUAUAGAAACAUGUUAAUUAUUUUGAAAGUUUUAAUUUUGAUGAAAUUUUAUAACUCGGUUAAAUACGUUUACAAGUGUAUGUGUUUUGGUAAUGCCUCGAACCCUAUUCCGGUGUUGGAUACGGGUAAGGGGUGUUACACCAAUAUUAUUAUUUUAGAAAAUUUUUAAAAAAUUUUAAAAUUAUAUAUUCUUUAUAUAUGUUUCAAAAUUUUUAAAAUUUUUUAAAAACAUAAAAUUUGAAAUUUUAUAAAUAUUUUGAAUUUUUAAAAAUUAUUUUGAAUUUGUUUUGUAUUUUUUGUUGGGAGAGAGAUACCAAUUUGCUCAUUUUCAAAUUGACAGGGAUUCAGAAAGGUAUUUACACCAAUCUAUUAUUUAGAUUAUUCGAGUUAUUCGAAUUGUAAAAUUCAACUCGAUUUGAACUCGAAACUCAAAUUACUUAUUCGAGUUAACUCGAAUAACUCGAUUCGAUUAAUUUGAAAUCUGAAUUUAUUUUCAAUUUUUUUCUAAUCGAAUCGAGAUUUGCUCAUCCCUAAUUGUGAUUUUUGAACCAACUUAAACAUGGUGAUCAUCAAUGUUGAAAAAGAAAGGAAAAAAAAAUAAAUAUAUUUAAGUCUUCUUUAUAGCUUUUCCCCCCGAAUUGUUUUAUUUAUGAAAUUAUUAUUGUAAUAAAAGAAUUCGUGUUAGAAAAGUACGUAGAAAAAUGGGUAUUCAUUUAUUUAUAAAUAUUUUAUUGAUAAUUUGUAUGUAUUUUUAUAAAUUUUAUAUCUUUUAAUCAAAAAAUAAACUUUUAAAUAUAUAUUUACUUUUUUUAUUUUUGAAAUUUUAAGAAUCAAAAUUUAAAAGAAUGUGUAAAGUUAAGGGUUAAAUUUGUUGAAUUUUUAAAAUUAGGACCAAAUUGAUAGAAUAUAUAAACACUGGAGAGCUAAAUUUGUUAUUAUGUCAAUAACAAAAACGAUUUUCUUUGGUGAUUUAACAUGUGAGUAUUAAAUUUUGAUAAUGUUAGUGACUUAAAUAAAAAAAAAAUUAAAUAUAAAUGACCAAAAUAAAAAUAUAUUAAUAGUUAAGUGAUUAUUUUUACAAGUUAUCCCAAAGAAAAUAUAAAUAUGGUUUAAACGCCAAUUAAUCGUCUAAAAUACGGACCAUAACUUAAUUUCAAUGCAAGACUAGAGUCUUGAUCACUUCGUCGUACCUAUGGAAGUUAACAAAUGUGGGAUUUUCUUUUUGAGAAAAUAUAAGUGGUUUACUUUUGGUCACAUUAUCAGUUUCUCCUUCUUCUCAUGCUCAACUUUUGUCAAUAUUUUGGAACCACUUGUGUUUGUUUAAGGUUAAAUUUUGCUCUUAGUCCCUGUACUUUGUGAAAGUUAUGAAUUUAGUUUUUGUAUUUAAAUUUGAUCAAUUUUAGUCACUAUACUUUUCAAAUUUUAGAAUUUUAGUCCUAACCCAAAUACUAUUAGUUAAAUUCAUUUUAUUAAACUCAAUUACUAGUUCUAUACUUUGCAUGCUAUUGCAGAAUUUAUCUAUAUUAUCCAAUUGGAUCACUUCAACUUUCUAUAUUGUUCGAAUUUUGAAUGAUUGUCAUUAAUCCGUUACAUGGAUUUGUAGUGAGUAUUAUAUGAAAAUACCAAGCUAACAUGGAAUUACACAUAUGAUAAUGUGUUCGGCAAAUCAGAUUUUGAAAAUAGAAAAUUUUAACUUAAUGAAUUAACAAUAAUUGUUUGGUGAGGAUUGAAGUUUUAAAAUUUAAAAGGUAUAGGAACUAAAAUUGAUCAAAUUAAAGUACCGAGACUAAAUACAAAACUUUCACAAAGUAAAGGGACUAACAUCAGAAUUUAAUCUCUGUUUAACGCACCCCUGAAAGAAACAUUCCUCUGAAAAGUCCUUGCAAACAAGGAAACUUAAAAAGUGGGAACACAUCCAUCUUGUACUCCAUUGCUUGUGCCUCUAAUGGUAAAAACCUUAUUGCUUAACAAGUUCGAAAGUUCAUAUAAUCCGGUAAUGAGUCGUUUUAUUAUUACAAUCAAUAGCAGUAAGGACCAAAUCGUUGGGGGUUCAUUAAUAUUACAAGCUUGAUUUAUUGGAGAUGAUAUUGCACAAGAAAUCAUCAAUUUCAGGAAAUACAAAAUAAAGAGGAAAAUGUGAAGCAAAUAUAAUAUCUAAAAUACAUGACACAACUAAAUAGAACUGAAAAAUGAAGUCGGGCAGGGAGGUACGGGGAUCUCAACUGUCCCUUCCAACAUCAACAGUACCUUCUUCAUGGAAGGGCGCAGUGUUGGUUCAUCCAGGAUGCACCACAGUCCUACAAUCACCAUCCUUUCAAGUUGUUUUAUAUCCACCUCCUCAUCUUCCCCUACUAUCUUCCCUACCUCACCGGCUUGGUAACAAUCGUAGACCCAUUCUUCAAGGAUAGCUUCUUUUUCCUUGAGGCUCCAAUUUACACUCCGUCGACAACAUAUGAUCUCCAAUAAUACGAUCCCGAAGCUGUAAACAUCUGCUUUCACUGUCACCGGUAGUUUCCUGUGCCACUCUGGUGCAACGUAACCCCUUGUUCCUCUGAUCCCAGUGAAGGUCUUGGUUUGGUCUGGCUUUAGCAACUUGGCCAAUCCGAAAUCGGAUAUUUUCGCUUGCCCGUUUCCGUCCAUUAGUAUGUUCUGAGACUUGAUGUCACAAUGGAUUAUUUGAGUCUCGCAUUCUUCAUGAAGAUAGAGGAGACCUCGAGCUACGUCGCGAGCGAUUUCCACCCUAUCGAUCCAACAAGGUCGUCUUUCGGGUGUAAAGAGUACAUCGAAAAGUGAUCCAUUGAUCAUGUACUUGUUGGCAUAAUAAUUAUCUAAAUAUUUCUGAUAAUAUUGUUAUUAAUAUUAUCGUCGCUUCCGCAACAAUUGGUAUCAGAGCCAAGGUUUUGUAGUAUGCUCUGUGUUUGCAGCUUAGUCUGAUCUUACACAUCAGAAACAUUUCCUAAAGCUUGUGGGUAUUCUGCAUUUGGUGGCUAUUAAGUAGAAGCUAUGGCAAAAAUGACAGAAGAAAAACCUUCCAUAUCAACAACUUCCACUUCGUACAUUUUGCCAAGGAUUGGAACUGCAAAUACGAGAUUUGUAGUGGAAAUUUUUGAUGGAACAGGUCAUUUCGGCAUGUGGCAAAGUGAGCUUCUAGAUGCCCUCUUUCAACAGGGUCUAGAUAUUGCUAUUGAGGAAGAAAAACCAGAAGGGUUGAUGAUAAAGAAUGGAAGACCAUCAACCGAUUGGCAUGUGGUACAAUUCGAUCAUGUCUUUCCAGAGAGCAGAAGUAUACAUUCAGUAAAGAGACUUCUGCAAGUAAAUUGUGGAAAGCAUUGGAGGAGAAAUUCUUGAAGAAGAACAGUCAAAAUAAGUUGCAUAUGAAGAAAAGACUGUUUCGUUUCAAUUAUGUUCCUGGUACCACGAUGAACGAGCACAUUACCAAUUUUAAUCAGCUGGUGGCUGAUUUGUUGAAUUUGGAUGUGACUUUUGAAGACGAAGACUUGGCGUUAAUGUUGUUGGGAUCGCUUCCUGAGGAGUUUGAGUACCUUGAAACUACUCUACUUCAUGGAAAAUCGGAAGUAACUUUCAAUGAAGUAACUGCUGCAUUGUAUAGCUAUGAACUACGCCGAAAGGAUAAGUUGAAAGGUUCAGGUGAAGCAGCAGUGGAAGCAUUGGUAACAAGAGGUCGUCAGCAAAGUCAGUCUAAGGGGAAGAGAAGAAAGUCCAAAGGUCGAGCUGUUGCCAAAGAUGAAUGUUCUUUUUGCAAAGAAAAAGGACAUUGGAAGAAAGAUUGUCCAAAAUUGAAGAAAAAAUGGAAGACUCCGCAAGAUGCAAAUGUUGCAGAAUGCAAUAGUGAAGCAGAGUCAGACUUUUCUCUUAGUAUGACAUCUUCAACAUUAUAUGCAGAUGAGUGGAUCAUGGAUUCUGGUUGUUCCUAUCAUAUGUGUCCCAUUCGGGAAUGGUUCUUUGAAUUUCAAAAACUAGAUGAAAGGGUUGUUUACAUGGGUAAUGAUAACACAUGUAAAAUAGCCGGGAUAGGUUCAAUUAAACUGAGGAGUCAUGAUGGAUCUACUAGAAUUUUGCGGGAUGUACGAUAUGUCCCAAAGUUGAAGAAGAAUCUCAUCUCUUUGGGGUCGUUAGAAUCUGAAGGCCUAGUUGUGACAAUACGAGAUGGAGUUCUUAAAGCAACUUCAGGCGCAUUGGUGAUGUUGAAAGGCAUAAGAAAGAACAAUCUGUAUUACUACCAAGGUAGUACAGUGGUUGGGACAACAGCAGCAGCAAUUUCGAGUACCAAGAAGGACGCUGAGGCAACACAGCUGUGGCAUAUGCGUUUGGGCCAUGCUGGUGAAAAAUCCUUGCAAACUCUAUUAUUGAAAGGUACAAAGACUUGCAAACUUGAAUUUUGCGAGCAUUGUGUUCUGGGAAAACAACGAAGGGUGAAAUUUGGCACUGGGAUUCACAAUACUAAAGGUAUUCUGGAUUAUGUGCAUUCUGAUGUAUGGGGACCGUCCAAGACUCCAUCACUUGGAGGAAGACGUUAUUUUGUCACCUUUAUUGAUGAUUUUUCCAGACGAGUUUGGGUGUUUCCUAUGAAGAACAAAGAUGAGGUGCUUGAAGUUUUCCUUAAGUGGAAAACUAAAGUUGAAAAUCAGACAGGAAGGAAGAUUAAGGUUCUCCGAUCAGACAACGGUGGAGAAUAUAAAAGCGAUCCAUUCCUGAAGAUAUGCCAAGAUUGUGGCAUAGUAAGGCACUUCACCGUAGGUGGAACACCGCAACAGAAUGGGGUGGCAGAGCGUAUGAAUCGAACGCUUGUGGAGAAAGUUCGAUGUAUGUUAUCUAAUGCUGGAUUAGAUAGAAAGUUUUGGACUGAGGCUGUGACGUACGCUCAACAUCUCAUCAAUCAUUUGCCAUCAUCUGCUAUAAAUGGCAAGACUCCUUUGGAGAAAUGGUAUGGAAAACCUGCUACUGAUUAUGACACCUUGCGCAUUUUUGGUUCUAUUGCAUAUUAUCAUGUGAAAGAAUCAAAGUUAGAUCCAAGAGCAAAGAAGGCUCUAUUCAUGGGCUUCAAUGCUGGUGUUAAGGGAUAUCGUUUGUGGUGUCUAGAGGCAAAGAAGACGAUAAUCAGUAGGGAUGUUACCUUUCAUGAAUCUGCCAUGUUGAAUAAGGUAAAUCCAGAAGGAGUGAGUAGUACUUCGCAGCAGGUGGAGUGUACUCCGCAGCAGGUGGAGUUUGAGCAGAGUGUGGUAAUUCCAGCAGAAGGUACCACUAGUGAUUCUUCAUUGGCAGAUGCAGAGUCAGAUGAGGAAGAGGUUUCUACCCAAGAACCUCAACAGCAAUCAGAGCCAAUUGCAGUCAGAAGGCAGAGACGAGAAAUUCAGAAACCUGCUCGUUUCACUGACAUGGUAGCUUAUGCACUUCCAGUUGUUGAUAAUAUUCCAUCCACUUACACCAAAGCCAUUCAGAGUUUAGAGAAUAAUAGAUGGUUAGGUGCAAUGGAAGAGGAAAUGCAAUCUCUAGAGAAAAACAAGACGUGGAAGCUGGCACAACUACCAAAAGGGAAGAAGGCGAUUGGUUGCAAAUUUGAAGACACUAUUGAAGUUAGUGUUAUGAGAAGAUGUUCGAAGAUGUGGAAUAUCGCCAAGGUGGAGAUUUGUUGAAUAUUGGCAAUAUCCCACAUUAGGAAAAGAUAGAAAGGGAGGGGGUUUGGUUUGUUAUAUAUAGAACCCCUCCCCCUUUGGUUUUAUCAUCCCAAAAUCUUCUCCUUUGUAAUAUUUCUAGAAGAAAUAUUAAUUUGGUAGUGUCCGAGGACGUAAGCUAAAUUGGCCGAACCUCGUUAAAUCUCUGGUAUUUUAUUUCUUAUUUGUUUGCUUAUAUUUAAUAGCUUUAUGUUGGUUAUAUUUAUUUAGUUAUUAUUGCUAUAAAUAUCUAAGUGAGUUCUGUCUAGUUGUUGGGUUUUAAGCGGGACCAUUUGUGACCCCUCCAAUUUAACUGGGAAUUUUCUUAGUAUAAUUGUUGGCAUAAUAAUUAUCUAAAUAUUUCUGAUAAUAUUGUUAUUAAUAUUAUCGUCGCUUCCGCAACAGUACUCGUAUAUCAACAGCCUAUUAGCUCCAUCAUGGCAGUAUCCUAGUAUUCGAACUAAAUUUCGAUGAUGAGUUAUCCCAAUGAUUCGCAUCUCGUUUUGAAACUCUCGUUUGCCUUGGUUUGAUAUGUUGUCCAAUCUCUUCACUGCCACAACUUUUGUUAAACCAUUCAACAUUACCGUCCCUUUGAAAACGGUCCCAAAUGUUCCUUUCCCGAUUUCUUCGUGGAAAUUAUCAGUCAUCGCCUCGAUUUCUGCAAAACUAAACGAAAUAGGAGCAACGUUCUCGCACAAUCUUAUGCUGCUGUCUGUAGAAAACCUUUUGUAUCUGAAAACACGACUCCAAAGAAUCAAAGCCCCAGAAAUUACUAGCACCAUGAUUGCAAAACCAAUCAGUGAAAGCCCUAUAAUUAAAAUAUCCGUAUGAACUUUCCCAUUCCCAUCUUUAGGUUCAUCAGCAUGUUUUCUUGGUUCAUUAAUGGAUGAAUAUAUACCUACCUUGAUCAAAGCGAUGUUUGAAUUGCUAAGGUUCCUUCUCCCAUAUCUCAAAGGAAGCCUUUGCUUCGUGCAGUUUCCAUCAUUAAACAUGGCAGCCUCACAGUUGCAAUCCUCAUAGCAUGCUGUCUCACAUUCUUCUCUGGUUGUUGAAGUCACCUCAGAAUAUCCAGUAUCUUCCCAUACAGUGUUUUCAGCUGCCUGAAUGGUAUACUGGAUUUUCCCAUCAUCGUUUUUACAGCUGUCGCUGGAGAAACUCCUCUCGCAGCCAGCAGUGAAAUUUCCUUCUAUAACUGGAGCAAAUCCUGGAAGACAUCUACAAUUAGCUUCUCUAUCUACAUCAACGCAAUAACCAUUAAGCCCACAUAGACCCUUGGGUGCACACUUGUCUGACGUAGAUGACCAUAUAACUGAUCGAUUGCCGUUCCGAUCGAAUCUGUAAGAAUAGAGUCGAAAGAUGCCAUCGGAAUCAAUUUUUAUCAGAUAAAUUGUUCUAUUUGUAUCAUCAUACCCUCCUGUGGUUAGAUCCUUUAUGUUGAAGCCUGUUGAAUUGAGCAUGUACAAAUGACCAUCAUUGUCGAGAUUCAGGCUCACGUUAUCUCCCUUACCAUCUGUAAAGGAUGACCAAUAAGAAUAAGGUGCUGUGUCAGGAGUGUCCACAGGGUACUGUACCAAGUUUCCAUCAUGCUGCAUCUUAAGACGAAAUAUACCAGUUGACUGGUCAGUUUCCGAGACACUAGAGAACAGCUCCAUCCCUUCUGAGAGACGCUGUCCUUGUAGAAUGCUAGUGGUUGGAUAUUGGAAGCUCUGCCAUAUAAUGUCCUCGCCAGAGUUGAAUACAACGAAAUUGCCCGUAUCAAGCACCGAAGCUGCAGCAAUUUUCUGAGAAGCAUUUGUGACGAUGUAUACGUCUCGUCUUGGCAGUGACUGAAGAAUAAGCCUUCCAUCGGUUGUAAGAACUAAGCUAGCAGUGCUUGGAACAGGAGGAGCAUCUCGGUUGGCUGUCCAAACCACUGUCCUUUGAGGAACUCCAGCAAGGAAAACCCCAACACCAUAGCCCUUACUUUGGGGAUAAAACCCAAAGCCAUAGAGACCAGAAGGGGAUAGCCAUGCGGAUUUGCCGGUGGUAGUGGGUGUCAAAGAUGAGCCCAAACGUAUAGUGGAGUUCCAUGGUUGAGCUACUGCAUGGAAAUGAAAGGAAAAGAAGCACACAAGGAAAAUAAAUGAGAUGGCGACCAUGGCUGAGGCCUAAAUGGUAUAAUAUCCCUUUAGAUUACAGGGCAUAUCGUUUUAUAUAUAUGGUUUAACAAGGUUUGAUUGUUAAUACAUUGAAUGAAAUUUCCCAUCUUACUUUUUUGAUAGGAUAGUUAUCACGGUUUUUUACAAAAAUAAUACAAAAAAAUAAAAAAAAAAUCAAAAUAAUACAAGUAUUUUAUUAUGUACCAAAAUGAUACAAACAGGAGUAGAGGGACUGCUAGCACCGCCCCCUUAUAUUAAUUUAGUGUGUUUUUUUAUAAAUUUAGUAAAAAACCUUUAUUUUAGUUAUCUGUUCGUAUUUUUUUUAUUUUCAGAUUAUUUUAUUUUAUAUUAUUUUAGUACAUAAUAUUUGAAAUGUAUUAUUUUAGUGUUUUUUAUAUAAAUUUAGUGAAACCCUUAUUUUGUCCUUUUGUUCGUAUUUUUCUCUUUUUUUUUUUAGAUUUUAUUACUUUCAGUAAAUAUACUAUUUUCAUUUUUUAUUUCUUUUCGUAUUUUAUUUUUUCAUAAACAUAUUUUUUCGGUAUUUUAUUUUUAAUACUAUUUUUGUAAAAAAAUCUCAUUACAACAUGCUAAAUAAAUUUCAUAAAAAAUAUAUCUAAUCAACAUAAAACACACUUAACAAAUAAAUUAAAUUAAAUAAUAAAACAUAGAAUGUACAUAACAUAAAUAAUAAAACAUAGAAUGUACAUAAGACAAAAAGUAAAUUUAAAACCAAUCACAUUAUAAUAAUAACAACAAAAAUAAAAUACGAAAAGACAUAAAAAAUGAAAAUAGUAUAUUUACUGAAAGUAAUAAAAACUGAAAAAAAAGAGAGAAAAAUACGAACAAAGGGCCAAAAUAAGGGUUUUUCACUAAAUUUAUAUAAAAACACACACUAAAAUAAUACAUUUCAAACAUUAUGUACUAAAAUAAUAUAAAAUAAUAAAAUUCAAAAAUAAGAAAAAUAUGAACAAAUGACCAAAAUAAGAGUUUUUUUACUAAAUUUAUAAAAAAACACACUAAAUUAAUAUAAAGGGGCGGUGCCACCUGUAGCAGUCCCUCCACUCCUGUUUGUACUAUUUUGGUACAUAAUAAAAUGUUUGUAUUAUUUUAAUAUUUUUAUUAAUUGUUUUGUAUUAUUUUUGUAAAAAAUCCUCACUAUGCAGUUUCGUCCUAGAGAAGUUGGUCAUGACUCAUAUGCGUAGAUUUCCAAAGGGGACCAAUCAUCGAUUGGCUACUUCAGUCCACUCAUGAGCUGAUAUUUAUAAUUUGAGAGGAAAAUCUAGCCAUGGUACUUCAGUCCAAUUACAAAUUUUCAAUUUCAACCUUCAACAUAUUUUUACAUCUUAUCGAUGAAGCAGUCAAACACGGAAGAUGGUCUCAGUUUAUUUUGCCAUUUUUCUAGUCAAAAGGUGAAUAAAAAGAAAUCUCAGAUAUAGUUAUGGGAUCGUGAUGGUGUGAUUAGAGGUAUUCAAAUUUUGAUUAAAAUUAAAUUUAUUAAUUAAACUGAUGUAAUUCGAUUAAUCUAUCGGUUAAUUGAUCUAGUUCGGUUGGAGUUCAAUUAAAAGUUUUUUGAAAAUUCAUUUAACUGUUAAUUCGGUUCGAAAUCAGGUAAUUAACUGGUAAUUAAUCGAAUUAACCGAAAUUAAUAAAUAAUAUUAUGUAUUAUAUGUAUUAGGCUAUUACUAAUUCGGUUAAUUCGAUCAAAUAAACAUUAUCAAUUUUUUAUAUCUUUUAUACUUAUUUUAAUAAAAAAAAACAAAACAUAUAAAUUUCGGUUAAAACUAAAAUAUUUCGGUUCGAUUAAUUUUUUUAGAAAAUAAUUUAGUUCGAUUAAUGGUUAAAGAAUUAAAAUUUUUAGUUAAUUCGAUUAAUACUAAUUUAGUUCGAUUAACCAUUUGAACACCCUUAAAUAUAAUUAUACUCGAUUUUCAGUCACUCACAUUUCUCGAAAAAUUUAAUUUGGUAUCAUUCAAGGUUAUACUGUAUUGCUUUUGUGAAACUUAAUGUAAGCUUUUACAUUGAAUUGGAUCUCACCAGAUCCCAUCUCAUUAAAUAGAUGUCAUCUCAUAUUUCGGUAAAAAAAAAUACAUAUAAAAAUAUAAAUAAAUGAAUAUUCAUUUUUCAAAUUUUAUUUAUUAAUUUUUUUUAAAAUCUACAAAGAAUAUUUCAAACUUUUCCCUUUUUAUUUUAUAAAUAAUAAUUUAUUUAUUAUACAUUUAGUCUUGUUCCUUAGCUCUCACUAAUUUUGUUGAGCACUGGGCACUACCUUCGCCCACAACCACCGAUACUAAUAACUCUUAUUUCGAAUUAGAGGUUAUCAUGGGUUGGGUUGAAUUUGGGCCGAGUCUCAAUAGAAUUUUAAGCCUAUUUUCUAGGCUCGAGUCCAAUCUGAAAAAUGGGCUUAAAAUUUUGCCUAAGCUUAACCUAGAUAAAAAUACCAAAACUUGAGUCUGACCCGGCCCACUUGUACUAAAUUUUUUAUAUUAUUAUUUUUAUAUAAAAGCGAAUUUAAAAAUAUAAUAUAUCAAAUAAACUAAAAACAUUAAAAUAAAUGUUUUCCGAUAAAUUGAAAAUAAAUUUAAAAAUUAUUUAUACUUAAAUAACACUAAGAUAGGUGUAACUUAGCAAACAAAUACCUCUAAAGUGGUGGCAAAAUUAACAAUAAAACAAGAGUUAUACAAUAUUCAAAAAUAACAACAAAAUAGUAACAAUGUAAUAGCGAAACGACACCAAAAUAGUGACAAAACAUCAACAAAAAUAGUGAAAAUAAUAGCAAAAAGCAACAAUUUUUUUUUUGGCAAAUUUGCGUCGGACAGGGCCCGAUACAAAAAAAGCUUACCCAAAGCCUGCCUUGUUCAGAUAACGGUCUUCGUUUUUUUACCCAAACCCAUUUUUCAAGCCUAUAUUUUUACUCAAAUCCUCUCACUUUGUUAAAGUGAGUAUUCUAUCAUCGAUUUCCACAUCUUUCGCCAUUGUGCCAGGAAUCAAUUGUGGAGGGGUCUCCAAGACUUCAUUAUCAAGUCUUGGUCAACUCGUCAAACCUAUGGAAGCUAAUAAAUGUGGGAUUUUCCUUUUGAGAAAAUAUAAGUGGUUUACUUUUGGUCACAUUAUCAGUUUGUCUUUCUUCUCAUGCUCAACUUUUGUCAAUAUUCUGGAACCACUUGUGUUUGUUUAAGGUUAAAUUUUGCUCUUAGUCCCUGUACUUUGUGAAAGUUAUGAAUUUAGUUUUUGUAUUUAAAUUUGAUCAAUUUUAGUCACUAUACUUUUCAAAUUUUAGAAUUUUAGUCCUAACCCAAAUACUAUUAGUUAAAUUCAUUUUAUUAAACUAAAUUACUAGUUCUAUACUUUGCAUGCUAUUGCAGAUUUUAUCUAUAUUAUCCAAUCAGAUCAUUUCAACUUAAUUUCUAUAUUGUUCGAAUUUUGAAUGAUUGUCAUUAAUCCGUUACUUGGAUUCGUAGUGAGUAUUAUAUGGAAAUACCAAGCUAACAUGGAAUUACACAUAUGAUAAUAUGUUCGGCACAUCAGAUUUUGAAAAUAGAAAAUUUUAACUUAAUGAAUUAACAAUAAUUGUUUGGUGAGGAUUGAAGUCUUAAAAUUUGAAAGGUAUAGGAACUAAAAUUGAUCAAAUUAAAGUAUAGAGACUAAAUACACAACUUUCACAAAGUAAAGGGACUAACAUCACAAUUUAAUCUCUGUUUAACGCACCCCUGAAAGAAACAUUCUUCUGAAAAGUCCUUGCAUACAAGGGAGCUUAAAAAGUGGGAACACAUCCAUCUUGUACUCCUUUGCUUGUGCCUCUAAUGGUGAAAGUUCAUAUAAUCCGGCAAUGAGUCGUUUUAUUAUUACAAUCAGUAGCAGUAAGGACCAAAUCGUUGGGGGUUCAUUAAUAUUACAAGCUUGAUUUAUUGGAGAUGAUAGUGCACAAGAAAUCAUCAAUUUCAGGAAAUAAAAAAUAAAGAGGAAACAGUGAAGCAAAUAUAAUAUCUAAAAUACAUGACACAACUAAAUAGAACUGAAAAAUAAAGUUGGGUAGGGAGGUACGGGGAUCUCAACUGUCCCUUCCAACAUCAACAGUACCUUCUUCAUGGAAGGGCGCAGUGUUGGUUCAUCCAGGAUGCACCACAGUCCUACAAUCACCAUCCUUUCAAGUUGUUUUAUAUCCACCUCCUCAUCUUCCCCUACUAUCUUCCCUACCUCACCG